GGAUAGAUUCAGUAUUGCUAUACUCUUUUAGUUUUUGCUUGUCUGAGAAAUUCUUUCUCUCUAUUCUAAAUGAUAAUCUUGCUGGUUAGGUUGCAGAUAUUUCCCUUUUAGGAUUUUGAAUAUAUCUCGCCACUGCCUUCUGGCCCACAGUGUUUCUGUAGAGAGAGGCAGAGAAAGCCUUAUGAGGGGUCCCUUGUAAUUAACUCUUUGUUUCUCUCUUUAACUUUUGCUAUUUCUAUUAUAGUAUGUCUUGGUGUAUCUGUUUGGGUUCAUCUUGUUUGGGACCCCCUGUUCUCCUAACACCCAGAUAUCCCUUUUUUAGAUUUGGGAAGGUUUCAGCCAUACUUUCUUCGAACAUAUUUUUAAAGGUCAUAUUAUUCCAUAGGUCUCAUAUUUCUUUCAUUUUUUUUCUCAGUUGGCUUUCUGUUUUCUGUCCUGAUUGGGUGAUUUCCAUUAUUCUAUCUUCCAGAUCACUUAUUUUUCUGCAUUAUUUAUUCUGCUAUUUAUUGCCUUUAGACCAGCUUUCAUCUUGGCGAAUGAGUCCUCUGAUUUUCUUGGUUCCUUUUUAUAGUUUCUAGUUCCUUUUUUAUAGUAAUCUGCAUUUCUAACAAUAUCCCUUCUUAAUUCCGUCAAUAUUUUUCAUUAUGUCUUUUUUGAACUUAGUGUCUAUUAGACUGAAGACAUUGUUUCAUUGUUCUUUAGGGGAAUUCUCUUGAUCUUUUAAUUUGAGUGGUUUCUCUGCUUCUUCGUUUUACUUAUAGUUCUCUUGCUCUAUGAGUUUAGGAGAAACAAUUAUCUACUGUGGUCUUGGAGGGCUAUUUUUAUGCGGGAAUGUCUCUGUGUAGACUGCGUGGGUUUAAUAUUUUCUGGCACAGAGUCUGUUUUUAGUAUGGAUGCUUGCUGCCUCUUUCCUCAGUGUAUACUGGUCAUUAUCCUCUUGAUAAGGGAUGUGACUGGUGUUGUGGUGACUGGAGCCUGCACUGGAUGCUGGCAGGACCUCCUCUUUGCUGUGUCUUUGUCACUGUCUUGUCAGGCAGGGUCCACUCCCUCACUGUUGGGAGUAAAACCCCUAGAUCUGGUUCUGAGCUGCAGUGCAAGGAAGACAGGAUUGGAGCGCUCCCACCAAGAGACGACCCACUGAAUAUUCCCCUGCUAGCACUGUUCACCAGGAAGUGUGCUCCGUGGUGUUACCUGUCACCCGUUCUUUGGACUCACAAAGUCCCCUGCUGCUGACACUGCCCUUGGCCCUGGCGUCCCACUGCACUGGUGUUUUCACAAGGCCACCAGGGGAGAUCCACCAAGGUCAGGUCCCAGGAGUGCGGUGGUCACGCCUCCGGACCUGCUUUGGGAGCCACGGGAAGGCCCAGCCCCAGCCCCCGGGGUACAGGGCCCACAAAGCCCACAGCCUCCGAGGCCAGACCCAUCCCGCCUCUGCGCAUGGGCAGCAGGCAGUCUGCACCCUGCACACGCUGCAGGGGCCCGGCCCCUCCCUUCGCACCGCUUCACAAUGGCGCCUCGCUUCGGCUGCAGCCAGGGCUGCUGCUUCCAACCUCCCGGCGGUAGCCACACUACCUUCCAGACCCUUCAGGCUGUCUCCCUGCAGCCAACACCAGUCCUCUCCCUGGUCUAUCCUCUAAACCCCAAGUCCCACCGCCAGCUCGCGCUUGUACCAGCGGCUGGGCCUGCGGUGCGGCAGCGGCAGCACUGUCCUCGCAGGUCUCCCUGGGGGUUCUGUCCACCGCAAACCGGUGGCUGCUCUCCUCUGAGCCGCUGAAGCUCCGUUUGUGCCCCGGCUGACCUCCCCACAGCACCAAGAGGACACUGGAAACCAGUGAGAUGGCUGCCAGCAUCAUCAGGAUGGAUAACUGGCUUCCGGCAGAGGAGUAGCUGUCAGAAGAAGCAAACUUAGCAGCGUGAAUGGAGGAGGUGGGACCCAUAUUGGUGCAUGAACUGGAAUUGAUAAUGUCCAUAUUCUUAUAAACAUCCUUUGGCUCCAUCAGACCCAUAUUCUGAAUCUGAGCAUGAGAAGACGACACCUGUAAGUAAUUAACCAAGAGGCUCAUUGCCAUCUUGGGUCACUUUAUCCCCACAGGAGGGGCUGUGCAGCUAAAGUAAAAGAGGAUGCUGCCUGGGCACAUUUGAUUUUUUAUUGUUGUUUUGCCAUUAUAAAUAGAAAGGGACAAUGGAACCGGAAGGAAUUCAGCUAAGGAAACAUUCUGUGUUUAUAUGACCCACUUUCAUGAGAAUGGAGUCACAUUCAUGAGAAUGGCCAAAUGAGGGCCUUUCCAAAGAGAAAAAUGUGAGAAAAACAGUCUUUAAACCUAGAGUGCCCAGGAAAGGAGGGGGAAUAAAGCUAGGAGUUCAAGCCCUGUGAAGAUUUAAAUUUUGUGAGAUAAGUAGGUGUGUGAAGAAGCUAAAAGUAAUUUUAUUUCUUUUGUUACACAUUUGAUUUGUGUUAAGAACAAUUGGUACUCUCACAUAAUUAAAGCCGUUCUGACAUUUUGGUGUGUUUCAUUGUUGGGCUAUGCACAGAAUGUUCCUACUGUCUUUGUUAAUGUAUUUUGAAUAAAGAUGGGUUUUAUAUUCAUUCUGACCUUGUAAUACUACCUUGAGCUGCACAGUAUUAUAUAAAAAGAUAAAAGAACUUUACAAUGAUCAGUCUUGGCUAUUAAUGAAAAUAUUGCUUAUUGCCAAAAGGAAAUGCAUUUUGCACUAUUCUAAAUUGAGUGACAGUUUAGCUUGUUAAAAUUAUUUUUGUAGGGGCAGUAUGGCCUCAAGCAAAAUCUGUGAUCUUGUGGUUCCUGUGGAUUUAGGAAUAUUACUUAUGAUUUGAAAGUGUUUUGGGGAAAUAAAAUCAGUGGCAUUUGCCAAUGUUAAUUUAAUCUCCUCUUGAUUACAUUCUCUAAAGAAG